GAUCAUGGCUCAGGAUGAACGCUGGCGGCAUGCCUAAUACAUGCAAGUCGAACGAGAGGAAGGAGAGCUUGCUUUCCUGAAUCUAGUGGCGAACGGGUGAGUAACACGUAGGUAACCUGCCCAUGUGCCCGGGAUAACUUCUGGAAACGGAUGCUAAAACCGGAUAGGUAGCAGACAAGCAUUUGACUGCUAUUAAAGUGGCUAAGGCCAUGAACAUGGAUGGACCUGCGGUG
rnacentral:rRNA from 1 species